AGGAUGAACGCUGGCGGCGUGCUUAACACAUGCAAGUCGAACGAUGAAGCCCAGCUUGCUGGGUGGAUUAGUGGCGAACGGGUGAGUAACACGUGAGUAACCUGCCCUUAACUCUGGGAUAAGCCUGGGAAACUGGGUCUAAUACCGGAUAGGAGCGCCUACCGCAUGGUGGGUGUUGGAAAGAUUUAUCGGUUUUGGAUGGACUCGCGGCCUAUCAGCUUGUUGGUGAGGUAAUGGCUCACCAAGGCGACGACGGGUAGCCGGCCUGAGAGGGUGACCGGCCACACUGGGACUGAGACACGGCCCAGACUCCUACGGGAGGCAGCAGUGGGGAAUAUUGCACAAUGGGCGCAAGCCUGAUGCAGCGACGCCGCGUGAGGGAUGACGGCCUUCGGGUUGUAAACCUCUUUCAGUAGGGAAGAAGCGAAAGUGACGGUACCUGCAGAAGAAGCACCGGCUAACUACGUGCCAGCAGCCGCGGUAAUACGUAGGGUGCGAGCGUUAUCCGGAAUUAUUGGGCGUAAAGAGCUCGUAGGCGGUUUGUCGCGUCUGUCGUGAAAGUCCGGGGCUUAACCCCGGAUCUGCGGUGGGUACGGGCAGACUAGAGUGCAGUAGGGGAGACUGGAAUUCCUGGUGUAGCGGUGGAAUGCGCAGAUAUCAGGAGGAACACCGAUGGCGAAGGCAGGUCUCUGGGCUGUAACUGACGCUGAGGAGCGAAAGCAUGGGGAGCGAACAGGAUUAGAUACCCUGGUAGUCCAUGCCGUAAACGUUGGGCACUAGGUGUGGGGACCAUUCCACGGUUUCCGCGCCGCAGCUAACGCA
rnacentral:rRNA from 1 species